AUACGAAGGGGGCUAGCGUUGCUCGGAAUCACUGGGCGUAAAGCGCACGUAGGCGGAUUGCUAAGUCAGGGGUGAAAUCCUGGAGCUUAACUCCAGAACUGCCUUUGAUACUGGCGAUCUUGAGUCCGGGAGAGGUGAGUGGAACUGCGAGUGUAGAGGUGAAAUUCGUAGAUAUUCGCAAGAACACCAGUGGCGAAGGCGGCUCACUGGCCCGGUACUGACGCUGAGGUGCGAAAGCGUGGGGAGCAAACA
rnacentral:rRNA from 1 species